UGGGGCGUAGCCAAGUGGUAAGGCAUUGGCCUUUGGAGCCAACAUGCGAAGGUUCGAAUCCUUCCGCCCCAG
rnacentral:tRNA from 1 species